UACGUAGGGGGCAAGCGUUGUCCGGAAUCAUUGGGCGUAAAGAGCGUGUAGGCGGCCAGAAAAGUCCGCUGUGAAAACUCGAGGCUCAACUUCGAGCUGUCGGUGGAAACUUUCUGGCUAGAGUCCGGAAGAGGAGAAUGGAAUUCCUGGUGUAGCGGUGAAAUGCGCAGAUAUCAGGAAGAACGCCCGUGGCGAAGGCGGCUCACUGGCCCGUAACUGACGCUGAGGCACGAAAGCGUGGGGAGCAAACAGG
rnacentral:rRNA from 1 species